UACAUAGGUCUAAAAAGCAUAUCAAUAUCAAACACACAUAUUACAGAGGUAAUCAAGCAAUCACACCAGUCAGAGUCAGUACUCCCUUGUUUCACAUAACCAGAACUCCCCCUCAAGGGUUCCUCCAUAGCAAACAAGACAUGUUUACACAUCAGAAGUAUAUGUAGCAGAAGAAAAAAUUCAAAAAAAAUCACUCAAGACACUUCCUUAGUCAAGUUGAUGUCAAAACAUCAAGUUUG
rnacentral:lncRNA from 1 species